AACGAACGCUGGCGGCAGGCCUAACACAUGCAAGUCGAGCGAAGCCUUCGGGCUUAGCGGCGGACGGGUGAGUAACGCGUGGGAACGUGCCCUUUGCUACGGAAUAGCCCCGGGAAACUGGGAGUAAUACCGUAUGUGCCCUUCGGGGGAAAGAUUUAUCGGCAAAGGAUCGGCCCGCGUUGGAUUAGGUAGUUGGUGGGGUAAUGGCCUACCAGGCCGACGAUCCAUAGCUGGUUUGAGAGGAUGAUCAGCCACACUGGGACUGAGACACGGCCCAGACUCCUACGGGAGGCAGCAGUGGGGAAUCUUAGACAAUGGGGGAAACCCUGAUCUAGCCAUGCCGCGUGAUCGAUGAAGGCCUUAGGGUUGUAAAGAUCUUUCAGUGGGGAAGAUAAUGACUGUACCCACAGAAGAAGCCCCGGCUAACUUCGUGCCAGCCGCCGCCGUAACAC
rnacentral:rRNA from 1 species